CAGCAUUUAGAAUCCAAUUUAUUUCUUCAAGACAAGUUUCUGCAUUGUGCAUAGUUUACAUAUGCAUUUUCAGUAUAGACUGAAGAAGCCUAAUACCUGCACUUAAGUUGUAGAUUUAAAUCGAAUAACAGGAGCAUGGAGGGAAGAAAGGUAUAAUUCAUCCGCCUUGUUAAUUCCAUUAAAAAGGUAACUGAAAGGGGCCAUUUCUAUGUACUUUCCAGAACCAGGGACAACCUUCAGUUCAUCAUUUUCCCAUACAACUCUUCCUCCAGCAAUUGUCACCUCAACCUUUCCCUUCCCUUUCUUGCCCUCAUAGACAUUUGUAUCCGUUCGAGAGUGGUGAGACCUUGCACUAAUUUCAAAGCUUGAGUUUGGAUUGAAUAUAAUUAUAUCUGCGUCAGAUCCAGCAAGAAUUGCUCCUUUUCUUGGAUAUAUAUUGAAGAUCUUAGCACAUUCUGUGCUUGUCACCCGAACAAAAUCAGUAACAGAAAUUUGGCCAGAUUCCACCAUUGUGUCCCAAACUAGAUGCAUCCUCUCCUCAAUUCCAUUGACACCAUUUGGAAUUUUGCGGAAAUCAUCAAUUCCGAGGGCUUUUUGUGUAGAAUUAAACGUGCAAUGAUCAGUUCCCACAAGCUGCAGAACUCCAGUUGAAAGGGCAGCUUGUAGGGCCUUGUCAUGUCCUGAUGCUCUAAUAGGGGGACUCAUGACAUACUUUGAUGCAGUGGUGAAAUCAGGAUCCCAAAGCUUAGAAUCAUCAAGAACUAAACCAGAAACCACAGGUUCUCCAAUAACCCUCUGUCCUGACUUUCGAGCUCUAGCUAUCUCUUCCAUUGCAUCAAUACUCAUCACAUGAACUACAUAGAGAGGUGUGUUCACAAACCUCGCUAAACGAAUUGCACGAGCAGUUGCCUCACCUUCCAGCACUGGUGGCCUCGAAAAAGCAUGCCCCUCUGGACCAGUAAUACCAAGUUCUAUCAUUCUUUUCUGUCCUUCAAAUACAGCAUCUCCAUUUUCUGCAUGGACCAUGGCUAAGGCACCAAGAGACUUGCACAUUUUGAAUCCUUCUAACAUAAGCUCAUCAUUGAUCAUAACAAACCCCUUGUACGCCAUAAAAAACUUGAAAGAGUUUAUACCUCUUUCCUUCACCAUAAUUUCCAUUUCCUUUGAAACAACUUCAUCCCAUUUGGUGAUUGCCAUAUGGAAACCGUAAUCCAUGCAAGAGUUCUUUGCCUUUUUUUCAUAGGCUUCAAAACCUGCUGUUAAACUGCCAUUGAUUGGUAAGACAAAAUCAAUAUGCAUUGUUGUUCCACCUGCUAAAGCUGCAGCCUGACCACUGAAGAAGUCAUCAAUGGCCUCGGUACCCAUAAAUGGUAUAGCUAGAUGGGUGUGGGGAUCAAUUCCUCCUGGCAUGACAAACUUUCCAGUCGCAUCAAGCACCUUAACAUCAUCACCAACCUUGAGAUUAGGAUUCACAGCAACAAUGAUCCCAUCCUCAACAUAAACAUCAGCAACCUCUUGAUGAUGAGCAUUCACAACAGUUCCUCCCUUAAUCAAUAGCUUUGAUGAUGAUGACGCUGGAAUUCCACAACCAGCUUCACCAUAUCCAGUCCCAACUUCACAGAACUGGUUUGAUUGUGAUACUGAAG
rnacentral:misc_RNA from 1 species